ACAUGACUCUCUGAGGCUGGACUGGUGGUGAUUCAUUUCUUAGUCCAUUUUUGCCCUCAGCUUCAGUUGCUGAUGAGUGGAUGUGCAUUGUGAGGACUUAAGGUAGAUAUGACUGGGUUUAUCUAAAAGCUUAGAUUUGUGAUUCUUUUAAGAUUCUUGGAAGAUUACUUUUAAAGAUAAUAAAAUAAUUACUCCUUUCUUUGUAACUGCAAAUUGCUGCCUGCUAGUAAGAGAAACUGGCUGAGAAAAACUACCUUGCUUGCUUUUAUACUUUGUUAGUCUAUAGCAAGUUGCUUAGUUAUAAAUGUACAUGGGUUUGGGGAAAUAAUUUUUCUUUACCUGUACUAUGUAAUGUUAUUUCUUGUAAAGGUAUUGGAGAACACAUUGGUUUUUUUCAUAACCAUUCACUAGAAGAAAACUAAAAGAUAAUCACAUUGUAAUUUUAUAAUGCUUAAAAGAUUUUGCUGAGAUACAUAAACUGGAAGAAAUUAUAGUGUGGGGAUUGGCAUAUUGUUCCUUCCAUCCAUCCACUAUGUAUAUGUAUGUAUGUGUAUAUGAAAAGUUUGUGUGAGUGGAGGUUGGAAUACUGUUCCUUCCAUCCAUCAAUUAUGUGUAUGUAGAUAUAUAUAUGUAAAGCUUGUCUGGGUGAGCAGUGGUGUAUUCAUGUAUGUAUGUGUGAACUGCUUGGAGCCUGCUUGCUGGAGCUUUGCUCUAACCAUUCUAUGUGUAAUUAUGUAUAUGUCUGUCUAUAGUUAUGUAUGUAUGCAUGCAUAUAUGUAUAUAUGUGUAUAUGAAGUUAUUGGACUCUGCCUUUUGUUUCAUCCACUCAGAGAGAGAGAGAGAGAGGAGAGAGAUUUUCUCUCUUCCCUUUCCCACCAGCCCCAAGGAGUUAAAAAGAGUUAAUAGUUUUUUCACUGGCCACAGGGAGUACCAGCCCCAGUGAAUUAAGCUUUGUUCCCUCAGAGAAAAAUUUGCUGAGUAACUGCUCUGAUCCCUGGCUGCCAUUGGCAGCAGCCCCUGUAGGUAUCUGGAUCCACCCCCAUCAGCAGCUACCUGCUUCUGUUUACCCAACACAUGGAUGCCAAAACUGGCUACUGGCAUUCUGGCUCCCAAACAGGCUAUGAUGCAGUAAGCCCACUGUUGCUCUGAGGAGACUGGAUAAAGGGCACAGCUGGAGUUGACUUCAUCUAGGCCGCAACUAGCUGAUGCUGUGAAUCACCUGCCACUUUAGGCGGAAGCUCCCAGCACCUUAGAACGCUGACCCUCUGAAUUGUCUGCCACUUUGGGCUAAGACUCCCUCCGGUUAAGCAUCAUCCUCACUAAAAUAGGACAGGGUAAACCUAUGGAAUAAAGGUUUUCCUCUGGUGUUAUUAAACAUACUUUUGAAAAAGAAAAUUAAGGUUUGCACUAGUCAGCUGAUGGUUCUCCCCAGCUGGUACAGUAAGCCAGUCCUUGGUUUCCUAGACCAAGGAGCUUUAGACAUUGAACCUGGGAAACCGCAGGAAUGGAGAGAAAGGCAUCCCUCUUACUGCACUAUCUGAAUAUGCAUAAGCAGACAUUGGCAGGUGAUCGAGAGCUCUGGUCUCCCUCAUGAAGGGACUCCUUUAUUGGUGUCUCAUUCAGGAUCUAAAAACAAUGUUUAUUUCUUGAUAGAAUAAAAAAAAGAUAGUUCAGGAGAAGAUAGUAAUGAAUCAGAAGAAGAGAACGUGACCUUGGAGAAGGAAUCUGACUUGAAGAUGGAGGCAGCAAAAUACUGUAAACCUGAAUGCCCUCAACUGCAAUGCCUGACCCUGAGCCUUCUCCCCAGGCCUCCUGAACAACCAAAGCCGCCUGUGGGAUUCAUCACUGAUGUGCUGUGCUUGACAAAAGCGUAAAACUUCUUUCAAAUAUUCAUUGGAUUUGGCAUUUCUUAAAAAUAAUUACAGCUAAAUUGAAGCCACUGUUUGAUAUUCUCAACCUGGAUACUGCCCCAGAGUCACUAAGAAAAUUGACUUCUAACGUUAAAAUUUUAUUAGCCCUUUUAGAGCCAGAUCAGCCCCGUUGCCCCAAGACAGGGAUGUUUACUUACGGCUCCUCCGCAGACACGCUGCCUUGAUUAUUGAUGUUCAGACAGAAUUUUCCCCACACUAAAACUUCUACACAACAAAGGAGCUAAUAGCAAUAAUUACUGUUUUUAAAGACUAGAGAACAAACCCUUUAACUUGUAUGCUAACUCUUAAUAUCUAGCCAAGUUGUUUUCCCCGUAUUAAAAAAUGUUCUACUGUCUUCUGGCUGCUUCACUACCCUAACCCUGCUUUCAGAAUCGCAAGGCUUACCGCAGUCUAGAAAUUGCCUUUUCUGUGUGGAACACACUCAAGCUCCUUCUAUGCUUCCUGGUCCUGUGUAUAAAGGUAAGGAAAAAUUGAUCCCCUGACAAAGGCUGUUGCUUUCUCUGGAGAGGCAACUCAGCAGAGCCAUUCAUCACAUCAUCAAGUCACUGCCUGCUCUUCACCUCCAAAGGCUGCUGGAGCCAUCUUGCAGAACUGCUUGGCUUAUCCCAUCCAUGCAUGCUCUCCCCCUGGUAACUGACUCGCAGGGCUUGUGUUCACCCUUGCAAUCUCUGAUACUUAGGUUAUUUGUGCUUCCGUCUGACCUGGGAGGCUUCAAAGAUAUGGUACAGUAUUUUUUUUAUUUUUAUUUUUUUUACUGUCUACAUCUUGGGGAUGCCAAGGGCUUUAAAAAUGGACAGCGCUCCUGUGUCCACUGGCAUCCCAUGCUCUAAGAACAGGCUGUUAUGGAGAGAGCACAUCAAGCUAAAGACUCAGCUGUUUACGUUACAAAGUGAAGAUCACAAAUACUCAUCUCCUUAUAUUUUACAAAACAAAUAAGUCCCUUUUAAAAUAUCUUAAUAUAAAGUUUACUCCAAACCUCUAAUAAGA
rnacentral:lncRNA from 1 species